UUCACUUUAAACUUGUAAUUAUUUUUUGUUCUGUGGAACACACACACACACACACACACAAAGAAUCUUCACACGUCUUUUCGCUAUAAGGGACUGUGAUUAAAAGGUGCUGUAAGGGAUUUUUUUCAUCCAAAGGUAUGCAAAAAAUGCCCUUCUUCCAUAAAGAUACCACUGAAAUAAGUGUCCUGAGAUAGCUCACUGGUCUCACUUUGUGACAACACUAGACUGUGUAAACAGUAAACAAAAAUGUGACCGCAUGUCGCGGACACAUUUGUUGAUCACCCCAUCAGAAAACUUUGAUGUGCUUAUUGCUUGUCAAUCAUUUUGCACGUUCUCAUAGUAGUUGAAGCGAAACAUACAUGUUUAAUGUCAUAUUCAGAUUCAUAACAGUUGUCAGCUGAGGACGCUAUUUAACUAUUUUUAUGUUUGACUGUCAUGAGAAGACGCACUGCUCUACUGUUUGGUGAUGGUCUUAAAGGGAUGGUUCACCCAAAAAUGAAAAUUCUCUCAUCAUUUACUCACCCUCAUGCCUUCCCAGAUGUGUAUGACUUUUUUUCUUUUGCUGAAUACAAACGAAUAUUUUUUAAGAAUGUCUCUGCUUUGUAGGUCCAUACAAUGGAAGUGAAUGUGUCCAGAACUUUGACGCUCCAAAAAACACAUAAAACCAGCACAAAAGUCAACCAUGCGACUCCAGUGGUUGAAUCUAUGUCUUCUAAAGCGAUAUAAGUGUGGUUCAUAGAUUCCCUUUGAAUAGCACCAUGCACUACCAGCUGAUCUACAGAUAUUCUAUAUUGAGCUCUGUGUGAAUUGUGCAAGGCUGAAGUGCAACCCUUUCCUUGAUCUAUCACAGGAAACUAACUGAGUCUCCA